rnacentral:lncRNA from 1 species
AUCUUUGGUCUUAUGGCAAAUGGUACCACAGCGAUAGGAGCUAACAGGAGAACAGAUUUAUUUUGCCAGAUACCAGAUAAGAGCAACUGGGCCCACAGUUCCUUUGAAGACAUUAUCUUAGGGGUUACACAUCUACCACUAAGCUUUGUGUCUUGGAGGGUUCCCCCUCCCUUAAACCUCACCACACCGAGACAGACCAAGUUUCCUACACAUGGAUCUUUGAGGGACAAAGCAUACCCAAACUAUAACACCUGUCCACACAGAGUUAGAUGAUGUAUUCUUGAUAUGAAGAGUUUGUGGUCGUUUAUAAACCAUUGGAAUUAAUGUAUAUGCUGCUUUAUUUUAAGGUUGUUCUUAACAUAACCUAUGAGAGUGGACAGGUGUAUGUGAAUGACUUACCUGUAAAUAGUGGUGUAACCCGAAUAAGCUGUCAGACUUCGAUAGUGAAGAGUGAAAAUCUGGAAAAUUUGGAGGAGAAAGAAUAUUUUGGAAUAGUCACUGUAAGGAUCUUACUUCGUGAGAGGCCUGUGACAUAUAGUACCAGUUCACAGCUAAUUGUCAUUCAGGAGGAGGUUGUGGAGCUCGAUGGAAGACAAGCUCAACAAAAGAAUGUUACUGAAAUCAACAUUUUAGUUAAGAACCAGAGAGUACUCAGACGUUCAAACUUUUUCCUUCCUUUGGAAGAAAGCAUGCUUUAUUCUAUUUCC